UAAUCUGCUGUAGCGUCUCAUGGUUGGUCAUUCCUGAUAAGGGGCCAGCAAGAGGACCAGUCAGCGGCUGCCUUGAUCCUGCCUAGGUGCCACCAAAGAGACUACCCCACCCCCAGCCUCUACAUGGCCAGUCUGUGCUGGUACUCCAGCCCCUAUGCUGGUACCUUUGGGGGUCAGUGACUCCCAGGGUACAUCUCCUCCCUCAGACUGGAUUCCAGGCUACCUCCCUCAGACUAAACUUUCCCUGAUGAGUCAUGAUCUUGUUUAUCUCUUCUCAGAUGGCUUACCUUCAUAGGGACACUGGCCAUAAGUGAAGACCUCAUACAGCAGGAUGCCAAAGGACCAGACAUCUGACUUUUGGGAAAAGACACGGAAGGAAAUGUGCCCAGUGCCUGAAGCUGAGGUCCCAGGCCGCCACUAUCAGGUGACUGGAAGCUCCUUCAUACAGAUAGGAUCUCAGUAUGUAGUCUUGGAUGGCCACUACAUAGACAAGGCUAGCCUCAAACUCAGAGAUCCACCUGCUUCAGCCUCCA